UCAAAGAAUGAUGUUUUAAGCAUCUCUAUAUGCCAGUCAUCUAUCUGACCUGACAAGGAGGUCGACUUUGAUAUCUCACCCCUGAUCUCUACGGUUGGUUGAAGGUGUCUUGGAAGACGGGUCGAAAUCAGAUCUGGAUAGAAGAUUCAUCUACGCUGGCAAAAGGGCUGUCAGAAAGAGUCCAAUCCCGAGGAGAGUUCAUGUGUGAAAUUUCUUUGUUGAAUGGAGGUGAGUUCAAGGGCUUCUUUGAUCGGGAAAUGCACGCACUUCUUUUGUUGUCAUUAAGGUCCCUUCCCCCUGAGUUCAAGAUGUCCCUUCCGCUUCUCUUUCACUACUUAGCCAAUACAUGAACUCUACACAAGAUUAGUGGCUUAGCUGUUAGCUGUCUAAAAGCUACGGUAAAUAAAAUUCCUUUUGAAAAUAAACCACUAAUCAUACAGCUAAUAAAAUAAAGUCGGUCACUACUGAGACAGCUCAUAAAAGUCGUUUCAGGUUCAAGGGCUAAAGCUUCUCUUAGGAGAAUCCCUUCGCUACACUCGACUUAAAGGCACCUACGAACUCACUCAUAAGGAAACUCAUCAAGUAGGUCUUUCGAGUCUUUCAAGUACUGGCGAAGCUUUAAUUGAAGACCUUUCAGUGCCCUUUCGUUUGGUCCCCUGGGUACCUUCUCCGCACUUACAGGUAAGCAUUUCAAGUAGAUAAGAUCAUAAAAGAAGAAAUGGGAAGGAGUACUGCCAUUAUGCGCUAUUAUUUUAAUCCGAAAGUCAAUCAUUCCCAGCUUUGAUAUGAAGGUAUGGGGGAGAUCAAAAGGGAGUAUGUUAG
rnacentral:lncRNA from 1 species